AGGAGGCUCCUGGUAAGUAGUUACUAUCUUGCUUCUAGAUAGAAUUCAAGCAUGAACUAUUUGGGUGAUGAAACCAUAAGUUAGGGCUAAAAUUUGACUGGAUAAGGAGAACAGCAAUUCUCAUCAUCCUGGCUCUGAAUUGCAGGACAAGGUCUAUGGUGGGGCCCACAGUCACCCAUGAGCACAUGAACUCUGGUUCACCCCUAGGCCUGAUUCAGGGAUUAAAAUAAGCCUGGACUAAGAGGCUGAAGGACUUCAAAAAGGAGAAUAAAGGUUGGGGAAGAGAUGAAAAAAGCAGAGCAGCACCUGGUGACUGCUUGUGCUUAAUAGUACUCUUCAGAAGUGAGAAAUUGGGUAAAAGUGAUAAAUCUGUUUCUCCCAUCCAAGUACUAACCAGGCCCACCCUGCUUAGCUUCCAAGAUCAGAUGAGAUCAGGCACAUUUGGAGUGGUAUGGCUGUAGAUGGUAAAUCUGCUUCUAAGCAAAAUUCUAAAGAAAUUGCCAUGGGGAAAGGAACUUUGGUCUUACAGGCUUCCUUCUGGUAUUCUCAGUCACUAUGCACGUGGACUAUAGAAAACCCACAUAGCUUAGAUAUCUACUCGCAUUGGGAACACUGGGACCUGCUAAUUCUACAGAGAAGGGUGGAUUGAUCAGAACCUCUCUAGCUCCUUGGGCACCAGCUUUCAUAGGCACACAAGGUUAGAGCUCAGGGACCCUCCUUGUUUACAUCAAGUUUAUGAAUGUGAAUCCAACUUUAUAGUUGGGAAAGAGAGAGUUUUGGGAAGCCUCUCAGCUAGGACAAAGGAAAAGUCAGGGUUAUUUCUCAAGUCUAUGGACUCAAGAUCAGACAUCUGAAGUUACCCUGGCUUCCUGAAGGCUGAAAACCAGCUCACGCUCUCUGCCUAAAGCUGUGAGCUCGACCUAAAGGCAAAAAUGGAACCAAAGACUGAGCCACAGAUGUUGCUGAGGGUAUCUAAGAGACUGUGAAAAUAGAAUUUCUUCCACCCUUUUGCUCAGGACUACUUCCAUAUCUAAUAAAUCUUAUGAAUGGCCACUUAUUCUUCCCAACUUCAUGGAGAAAUAUACCCAGGAGUAACGUACGAUCUCCAAAUGGUUUUUUCUGAGUCUACUGAGGUUGAUGAUUUUGUUGCUUAUCCGAAGUUCUGCAUGUUCAAGUUCUGCUCUGACACAGGCCUUUGUCAGGAGCCCAGUUACCAUGGCAGUGCCUCCAAAAUAGAACAAGCCCAACACACAUCAAUAGAGGGUACAAUAAAUAGAAUAAGUACUACUUACAAUGCGUUAUUUGGCUUCUACUGGGUAGUAAUUUGUGCAGAGUUGAAAAUAACUACAGCUCCCCCCUCAUUUAAUUAAAGGAAAACAAUUCCACAAAUCGGAAAUGUGCAGUGUUUAUAUCAGAGAGGAUCUCGAGUUGCUGCGUGAUCAAGAGGCCAGGAUCAUGGGUGGGAAGAGAUGAAAAAUACCUGCCACCAUGAGUCAGAAGUUAGAGCCAGAACAGCAGGUCAGAUGGCAGAAACACAGGCAGAAGGAGGCGAGUGUGAGGGGCAGUUUUCCUGCACAAUCCCUCUUCUUCUCUCAUCUGCUAAGAUGUGGGACAUCCCUUUCACCUUCUGCCAUGAUUGUGAGGUCUCCCCAACUACGUGGAACAGUUAUACAAGCUUGGCACAAACAUCUAUUUGGUUUCUGGAGAGACCUCAAGAAGCUGACAAUCAAGGCAGAAGGCAAAGAGGAGCCAGUGCAUCACAUGGUGAGAGAGGGAGCAAGAGAAAUAGGGAGGAGAGGUCAGGCUCUUUUAAGCAAGUGGAUCUCGUGUGAACUCGCAGAGUGAGAACUCAUUCAUUACUGUGAGAACAGCAGCAAACCACUCAUGAAGUAUCCACUCCCAUGACCCAAACACCUUCCACGAGGCCCAUCUCCAGCAUCAGAGGUCACAUUUCAACAAGGGAUUUGGAUGGGGAUGAAAUAUCCAAACCAUAUCAGUGAUAGACAUGAAAGACACACAAGAUGCUUGUUGUUUGACGGAUCGGAAUUAAAUUGUUCCACUUCUCAUGGAAGAAUGCCACAAUCAUAGGCUUCCCUGCCCAGGGCCCAGGAUGCCAUAAUACCAGGACAUUUCCCAGGAGUUGAGCCAUUACCUCUUCCUCCUAUAUUGAACUUCUGGGGAGGGGAUAGGAGGGAAGUACACGCAAUUUUGCACAAAACGUGCAUUGCUACCUGUAAUAAACAGAAUAAUGGCCCCCAGAAAUGUUUAGGCUCUAACCCCUGGAACAUGUAAAUAUUACCUUUUUAGGGAAAACUAUCUGCAGAUGUGAUUCAGUUAAAGAUCUUGAAAUGAGGAGACUAUCCUGGAUUAUCUGGGCAGGUGCUAAAUGCAAUCAGACCUAUCCUUAGAAGGAAGAAGCAGGGAAAGUUUGAUAGCAAGAAGGCCACAUAAAGAAAGAGCAGCAAGAGGCGGGAAAAUGCUGGCCUGGAAAUUAGAGUGGUGCAACCACGAGCCAAGACAUAGCCACCAGAAGUUGGAAAGGCAAGGAAGGGAUUCUUUCCUCAAGUCUCCAGAGAUAGCCCAGCCUUGACACCUUGAUUUGACCCAGUGAUAUUGAUUUUGAACCGGUGGCAUCCAGGACUGUGGUAAGAAUAAAUGUAUGUUGUUUGAAGACACCAAGUUUAUGGUAAAGUGUCACAGUAGCAAUAGGAAACGACACACCACCUGGCCUUCUCUCAGAUCCCUGUCCCAUCUCUGCCCCUACUUCUCUGAGAUCUCCAAACUCAGAAAUGUGUGAUAAGAAGGUCACUGGAUAUGAAGUCAGAAGUCCUGGCCUCGUAUGCCCACUCUUUAUAUAAGAGCUGUCUUCACUCUGCCAGGUGCCCAGGUCCCCUUAACUGUACUUGGCCUGAGGACAGGUAAAUGAGAGCCAUAAUUUUUGCCUUCAAAGAGCUCAUAGUUGAGUGCAUUAGACAGAUAGGCAAGUACAGAAGAUCACUGGGCAACGUGUGCUGAGAGAGGCAAAGGCAGGGCUCCAGAGGAACUCAGGGGUGCUGGCAAGCCUUUCAUCCAGGCUGGAGGGAGGGAGUGAAGCAUGGCAGGGAGGACUUUUCAGAGGAGGUGAUGAGAUUACUCAAGCCCAGUAAUAAGGCUUCCACUAAUUGCUAAUAUCAUUAAGGCUGUGUGCCAGUGCUGCACUGGACUGCUGGCGCUGGGGAGCAGAGCUUAUGAGGAAUGCAAUGUAAGUGUGCCACCUCGAGUUAGGUGAUGCAGCAGCCUUCCCUGGCAGUGCCAAAUGCUUUACACAGGUGAGUUCAUUGCAUUUUUGCACUCACAAGCAAGUCGCUACUUUUACUCUGAUUUUCCCCACAAACAAACUGAGGCACAAAAUGAAUAAGUAACUUGCCAGAGCUCCUACAGUUAGUGAGGGGUGAGACGUGCUGAGAAAAUAAAACUGAGUCUUCACACACAGCUCCUGAUUUUAACUAAAGUGGAUAUUGUAUUUCUCAGACAUGGACUGUGUAACUCAGUAGUACUGAAGCAAAAUACGGUUUAUUUCUCUAUGAUGAAAUGUAAAGUAGCUCUGAAUCCCGAUUUCUGCUAAUGAAAGGAAGAAGCAGCCGCAGUUUAACCUUGAUGCUCAGCCACAUAUGGUUUCAGCUUCCUAACUGCUAGUUUCCACGAGUUGCUUUUGGAUGAAAGCAAAACUCAGAAUGAACCCCCUCCCUCCUAUUUUUCCUUAAAGACCUCUGAAUUUAGAGAUACCUUAUUUGGCACAGUAGCUUCAGAGGUGAGUGAAGCUGUCACUUCCACGGGCUCUCUGUCCUCCUUAGUCCACCUGCUAAGGUGCUGUGGUCCUCAUGCUCCCUCUCAGUAACUGCCACACCUGUCAGGCAUCUUGGGCUGUUUCAAAGUCAAGGAAAGCCUCUCUAUGCACCAGCAUUGUUCCUUUGGAGUUCAAUUCCAACCACAUGGUGAGCUAAUGCUGUGAUCUCAGGCAGGUUGCUUAACCUGAAGUGCCUCCAUUUUCUCCCCUGUUCAAUAAAGAAGAUAAUUGGAAACCUUUGUGAGGUUUUUGUGAUGUGUUAACUUGGCUAGGUUGAACCACAUGUCUGAACAUUUUCUUCCUCCUCUAUCUCUGGUUAGAG